UGGCCACCAGGAGCAUGUAGAAGACGCCCGCCAUGUUGUCGAUGUCCAGCUUGCUGCUCAUGACCUCGAUUUUGUCAUUGUGGCAGAUCCCAGAGAGCCACAGCCGCUCCAGCAUCUCGAUCUCAUCUGAAGAAAGGAACUGCAGCAGUGCCAGGUCAAUGGGUCGCUUCCAGCGGGAACCCUUGUGCAGGGCGAUGCCAUAGCCCGUGGUGGCAAAGACCUUGCCGGAGCCAAUGGUAACAAGCUUGCAGCCCUCAUCCUUGCGGGCCAUGUAGUUGAGCACAGCCGCGUCAUAGAUGAAGGCGUCCAGCUUCCUGUGGGCAGGGGCGUGAGGGGCAGAACCACAAGCCUCACUAGAGCUGGGUCCAAGAUUAUCACAUUCCAGGCUGUGACCCAGCAGGUCCUGAUACCUACAAGGUGGUUGUAAAUAUCUGCACAAUAAAUGAAAGAAGGAAGGAAGGAAUCCAAACAUCUGUAACUUACACACUGUGGAACUAUUCUAUUUUCAAAAGUGCUUAUGAUCUGACACAUGAAGAUGUCCAGAAUGUAUUAAUGAGAAAAAAAAAACAAUUAGUCCUGGAAUCUUAUAUAGACUAUAGCUCCGUAGUCAUUUUGGGGGUGAAAUUUUGGUCAUCUCAACUGUGGACACCAGACUAGUCCUAAGAGGGAGGUCCCUGUCUUGUCUAGUCCAGCACUGUCCAAACGAACAUUCUGGGAGGAUGGAAAUGUUCUGCCUGCACAGCCACCAGCCUCUUGAGCACUUGAAAUGUGACCAUUGUGACCAAGGGACGGAACUUUAAAUUGUAUUUAAUUUUAAUUAAUUUAAAUAGUAUCAGACAGCACAGGUCUGAGGAAAACAAGAGAACUUCAAGGCAUGUGGCUGGACUCUGGGUUGAAGAGACGGCAAAAGCUCUUCCUGACAAGAAUAUAUCACCUGGAGUUUUGUUGUGCCACGUGUUGUGCCACGUGUGCACAGUGGGUGCAGAGUUGGCUGCAUAGAAAUUAAGGAAAAGGACAGAAUUAGUCCUUGCACCUCAAAUGGGGAGACAGAGAGAGGAUUCCCCAAAUUGAAUGGAUCCAGCAGAAGCAAAAACUUGGGGUGGAACAAAGAAUUCAAAGCUCCAGUGAAUGAGCAGAAGACGUGGGGAGGGCACUCACCACCUGUGGUUGGAGAACGGGGUUUGAAUUCAUUUUCUACAGAUCCUAACAGGCCAGGAGAGCCCAGCUGACAUCUGGAAACCUACAUGGUCUAUAGGCAAGAAAAAUACCGCACUGCCUGCGGGCACUGCUGCCUUGUAGGCAAACUGUAAUUUCUCUCCGGGUGUCUCUUUGUUUAGGAAAAUGCCCUUAAGGGCAAGAGGUGAAUUGUUCCCCAGGGUUUAAGCGGGAAGAACUCGGAGUUUCCAGAGUCAGGCCAAGGAGGAGGGAGGGAGGUGCUGGGGAUUAGGAUAAAAUGGAGGUUGCGGUGUGGUGGGGGGUGGGGCCCAAGGGAGAGAUGUGGGUGGAGAGACCUGAGAGGCAUGUAGAGAAAGCCAAAAGUCAAGGCUUCCAGUGGUGGAAAGGUGAAUGGGACUUUCAGGUAGAGGGGAUCAAAGAGUCUGCUUUUAAUGUAAUCCUUUGUGUGAUUCUGGGAUAUAAUGCCUGCCUCCCUCUCCCCACCUUCUACUUCCUAUACCCUCAUUGUCCCUAAAUCUCUAGUAAAACUCAACCAUGUCCUAUAGCCUUUGUUUGGGAAAAAUGAAAAUUCCCGCCCUGUCAGCUCCUGCCCCUCCCCAGCUCACUGCCCUCCGCUGGUGUCCACUUCACUCAUGAUAUGAGGCUCUGUGCCACCAAACACCCCCAUGUCCCUCCUUGCCUCAUCUCCCACACAUGUGUCCCUCACUAAGUCUGCUCCAGCCACCGUCAUGCAGUUCCUGAAUGGUGCCAACAUGCUCCUGCCUCAGGGCCUUUGCACUGGCUGCUCCCUCUGCUGGAUCAUCCUUCCCCCAGAGACCAGCCUGGCUGGUCCCCUCCCCUCCUUCAAGUGUUGCUCAAUAGACACCUUCCUGUGUGCAGAAGUGUGGUUGGGGAAGAUAAACAGCAAGGUCCUACUAUCUAGCACAGGAAACUAUAUUCAAUAUCCUGUAAUAGCCUCUAACGAAAAAGAACAUGAAAAGGAAUAUAUAUGUAUAUAUGUAUGUAUAACUGAAUCACUAUGCUGUACACCAGAAAUUCACACAACAUUGUAAACUAACUAUACUUCAAUUAAAAAAAAUAAUAAAAUAACUCAUGGGUCAAAAAGUGAAGAAAAACACACACACACACACACACACCUUCCUGAGAACCUAUUUAAUACUGCAGCCU